rnacentral:rRNA from 1 species
GAUGAACGCUGGCGGCGUGCCUAAUACAUGCAAGUCGAACGAGGUGCUUUUGUAGCAAUACGAGAGUAUCCUAGUGGCGAACGGGUGAGUAACGCGUUGGUGACCUACCCCAAAGUGUGGGAUAACAGUCCGAAAGGAUUGCUAAUACCGCAUGUGGUCUUCGGAUUUAGAAACUGAUGACUAAAGGAGCAAUUUCGCUUUGGGAGGGACCUGCGUCCCAUCAGCUAGUUGGUGAGGUAAUGGCUCACCAAGGCUACGACGGGUAGGGGACCUGAGAGGGUGACCCCCCCACAAUGGAACUGAAACACGGUCCAUACACCUACGGGUGGCAGCAGUAGGGAAUAUUGCACAAUGGGCGAAAGCCUGAUGCAGCAACGCCGCGUGUGCGAUGAAGGCCUUCGGGUC